GGAGAAGUUUAUGCUCAUGUGGAGGCUUCUGCUCAGCAGAGUGUCCUGGGCUCUGAAAUGAACUUUACCCUGCCUUUCCACAGGACACCUAGCACCCAGGCCCACUAAAAUCUACCCGAAAUGGGAAGGUGCCCUCAUUUUUAUAUAUACUCUCAGCUGAGCAGCUUUGGUCUUGUGCAGAUACGGAUUUUCUUUGUAAAAUUUUUCCUUCAUAAUGCUUCCCUUAGCUAUCUUUUUGGUAGCUAUGUUUGAGUUUGAGAAUUAUCUUUUUCAUUUCUACCAUAAUCUUUGAUACUAAUCACAAGAGCUCAUAGUUUCGAUUAAAUAAUUCUUUGUUGUUUCAUGCCUUUAGGAUCUCCAUGAAUCCUUUUAUUUCCCCUCCCCAUGAAUACAUCUGUAGCCUAACAGGGAAUGGUCAUCUCAGCGGACUAAGGUGUUCCAAAUGCUCAUCAGCUGUUGGCUCUGUUACUUGUCAUAAAGGAGCAUCAUGAUCCAAGUGUCUAUAAUGACACUCAUGUGAAGGAUGAAGUCACCAUGGAGUCAAGAUAGAAUAGCCCCUGCCCCUCUCUCUUAGCUUACUAUGAUACCAUCAUGAUUUCAUGUGGCUUAUUAGGAGGCAAAAAUGAGAGAAGGGAUAUUUGUAACUGGCUUGAUUCUAAACUUUGAGCUUAAGGAGAGCUCUAGUAGCCUCCUCUAUCCCAUCCCCACGCAUGGGAAUAAAACUUGCCUCCUCUCUCUGCCCAUAUUCUUUCCUGAAGCCAGGCUCUUGAACUAGGCUCUGGGAAUGACUACACCGUGAAACUGACGUAAUAGAAGACUCGCCACUCACCCAUGCUUAAGACCUGUUCUUGGAGGUGGAAGGCAAGAGGAAGAAGAGAUUGCUGAUUCUACACACCAGAGACCCAAGGCUAUGAGAAAUUCUACUCAUCCACUCUGCCUUCCACCUUCAGUUCUCAUCAGGAGUUCUCACCCUCAUAAUCACACCAGCAAUUAUGUUUUAAAGCAUGGAACAGCACCAGAAACUCACUGUGAUGAGCUCUCAGAUGGAUGCAAAUGGACACACUGGCAGAGAAAUGUGGAUGAUUUCUAACUUUGCCCGCUUAUUCCCAGUACUGCUAUCCUAACUCAUCACUCUUGGGGCAAAACUGUUUUUCUUUGCUUCAAUAUUAUAAAUCUGAGACCCCAAACUUCACUAAUCUAUCCAAGGAAUGGAAAUAGCCCUGACUUUCAUAUAAGGUUUUUGAAGGGUUCUUUGUCAUGAGAAUAAAUAAGUUUAUCUACUUUAAGUCACAGAACCCAUAGGGCAUCUGUGUGGUUGAGUCAACAUGGUUGGAAUGAGAUGGAGGUGGGAUAUAUUCAAAUAUCCAGUGAUUUUAUAUAAUACUGGAACCCCCAAACUAGAAUGGAAUCUUAGAUCUAGAUUGGGUAUUAGAAGUUCUCAGACUGACAAAUCUACAAUUUAGUGAUGUCCCAAAUAUCUGGUAGGACUAAAAAGGAAUUGCCCACUGGUUAAGUUGCACAUGGCAGUCCAGUAUCUCCUUAACAGUUAGCAUGUGUUGGGAUCAUUGGGCACCCCGCAUGGAGGUGGGGAAGUACAGAAUAUAGAACAACUCAGCUGAACUGGAAGAUUGAAUGGGGACAGAGAACAGAUAAUUAUAGUAACCUUUUAUUAUCAUAACAUUAAUUUAAUUUGAUCUUUUUAGUUGCUUAUGCAGUAACCUGUAAUGGAGGAGAAGCAUCAGUCUUCCAUUUUCUAUAGAAAGAGUCACAGUCCUUACGCCUGCCCUACAAGGCAUUGACUUUAGAAAUUCAUAAACUAGAUACUCAUGUGACUGCUUAUUGAGAAGAAUUCCUAGCUCAGAGUCCUAUUCCUGUGUCACAUGAGCCUUAAAUAAAAGCAGGUAGAAGAUGAGAUAUGGUUUAAAUGUCUUUAUACUUUAGAACCUGUACCUUCACUCCCUUGUCUAUUACUCUUAGUGUUCUUUGCUCUCUCCCUCUUCUCUUGCAUCAUUACUUUAUUCCCAGGAAAAAGAAUCAGAAUCCUAAUGUAAACUAUGUGCUUAAAUGUAUAAAUCUCUAAUAUGGCUUAACAUGUUACCCUUCCUGGGAUUAUUUUCAUUUAAAUGACAGAUGAGCAGCUCAGUGCUAAAGGAAUAUAUCCAUGUGGGAAGCCAGUAGUUGGAGUGGAGUGGAGAGUAAAGGGAAGGUUUCCUUGGGACCUCUGAAAUCACACCAUGGACCAUAUACCGUUUGUAAGGCCAGACCCAUUCCAGUAUAACUGCCCAUCUUAAGCUGAUUCUCAUCUAUAAAGAGUUCCUCAGACAGGAAGAAGAGUCUAUGACAUUCAAGUGAAGAAAGCAAAUGCUCUCCCAAAGUAUUUGGCAGUCUACUGAGCAAACAUUUGUUAUAUGGCUUUGGGCUCAGAGAGCGUGUAAGUUAUGGCCACAAAACCUGGAAAUGCCUAGUGUACUCAUCAAUAGUACUGCAGCUGCAUUAUUUAUGCACACAUUUGAAUCAUUCCUAACACACCAAACAGACCAUACAGGGUGUUAAGGAAAAACAGGGCUUUUUUAGAGGGAAGGGGAUUAAAAGAAUAAAGUGAUUCCUGGAGUAGCAUUUUCCAGAGGCUAUUGCCCAAUCUGUUCUUCUUUCCCUGAAUCCUGAACUAACUAAAAAACAAACAAAAAGCAAAAAGAGAAACCCUAGUUUUUAAAUGAGAUGUGCAGGUGACCAGCACACUGCAGUUUUGGUAACAUGGUUUCUUCACCUCCCAUGCAGAGAAUUACCCCUUAGGCAACUCCUGAUGACCAUGGAAGACUGGGUAGGUGAUAUUCACUUAAUCAUAUAGACGACUCAUAUUUUAUCACAUUGCACAUGCGUUUUGGCACUACUAAACCACCAACAUUUAAUGGAAUCAUUUGGGAUUUUUUUCACCUAAUUACAACAUGGCUGUGGC
ensembl:lncRNA